rnacentral:rRNA from 1 species
UACAGAGGUCUCAAGCGUUGUUCGGAUUCAUUGGGCGUAAAGGGUGCGUAGGCGGCAUAGUAAGUCGGAUGUGAAAUCUUGGAGCUUAACUCCAAAACUGCAUUCGAUACUGCUGUGCUUGAAGACUGAAGAGGAGAUUGGAAUUCACGGUGUAGCAGUGAAAUGCGUAGAUAUCGUGAGGAAGACCAGUGGCGAAGGCGAAUCUCUGGGCAGAUCUUGACGCUGAUGCACGAAGGCCAGGGGAGCAAACGGG